GGCGGCAGGCCUAACACAUGCAAGUCGAGCGGUAGCACAGAGAGCUUGCUCUCGGGUGACGAGCGGCGGACGGGUGAGUAAUGUCUGGGAAACUGCCUGAUGGAGGGGGAUAACUACUGGAAACGGUAGCUAAUACCGCAUAAUGUCGCAAGACCAAAGUGGGGGACCUUCGGGCCUCAUGCCAUCAGAUGUGCCCAGAUGGGAUUAGCUAGUAGGUGGGGUAACGGCUCACCUAGGCGACGAUCCCUAGCUGGUCUGAGAGGAUGACCAGCCACACUGGAACUGAGACACGGUCCAGACUCCUACGGGAGGCAGCAGUGGGGAAUAUUGCACAAUGGGCGCAAGCCUGAUGCAGCCAUGCCGCGUGUGUGAAGAAGGCCUUCGGGUUGUAAAGCACUUUCAGCGGGGAGGAAGGCGGUGAGGUUAAUAACCUCAUCGAUUGACGUUACCCGCAGAAGAAGCACCGGCUAACUCCGUGCCAGCAGCCGCGGUAAUACGGAGGGUGCAAGCGUUAAUCGGAAUUACUGGGCGUAAAGCGCACGCAGGCGGUCUGUCAAGUCGGAUGUGAAAUCCCCGGGCUUAACCUGGGAACUGCAUUCGAAACUGGCAGGCUAGAGUCUUGUAGAGGGGGGUAGAAUUCCAGGUGUAGCGGUGAAAUGCGUAGAGAUCUGGAGGAAUACCGGUGGCGAAGGCGGCCCCCUGGACAAAGACUGACGCUCAGGUGCGAAAGCGUGGGGAGCAAACAGGAUUAGAUACCCUGGUAGUCCACGCCGUAAACGAUGUCGAUUUGGAGGUUGUGCCCUUGAGGCGUGGCUUCCGGAGCUAACGCGUUAAAUCGACCGCCUGGGGAGUACGGCCGCAAGGUUAAAACUCAAAUGAAUUGACGGGGGCCCGCACAAGCGGUGGAGCAUGUGGUUUAAUUCGAUGCAACGCGAAGAACCUUACCUGGUCUUGACAUCCACAGAACUUUCCAGAGAUGGAUUGGUGCCUUCGGGAACUGUGAGACAGGUGCUGCAUGGCUGUCGUCAGCUCGUGUUGUGAAAUGUUGGGUUAAGUCCCGCAACGAGCGCAACCCUUAUCCUUUGUUGCCAGCGGUUAGGCCGGGAACUCAAAGGAGACUGCCAGUGAUAAACUGGAGGAAGGUGGGGAUGACGUCAAGUCAUCAUGGCCCUUACGACCAGGGCUACACACGUGCUACAAUGGCAUAUACAAAGAGAAGCGACCUCGCGAGAGCAAGCGGACCUCAUAAAGUAUGUCGUAGUCCGGAUUGGAGUCUGCAACUCGACUCCAUGAAGUCGGAAUCGCUAGUAAUCGUAGAUCAGAAUGCUACGGUGAAUACGUUCCCGGGCCUUGUACACACCGCCCGUCACACCAUGGGAGUGGGUUGCAAAAGAAGUAGGUAGCUUAACCUUCGGGAGGGCGCUUACCACUUUGUGAUUCAUGACUGGGGUG
rnacentral:rRNA from 1 species